GGGACAGUGGCGGAAUGGUAUACGCUCGACACUUAAAAUGUCGUCUGGGAAACCGGGUGCGGGUUCGAGUCCCGCCUGUCCCA
rnacentral:tRNA from 1 species